AUUAUCUGUAACACAAAUCGAAUUACUCCAAAGACAAAUCUAAUACAGGAGUUAAAAGACAAAAGACAUCAUUGCAAAUGCUAGAGGAAGGUUCAAGUCAUUAUCAACCGGUUUCUUUCCUGUCAAAAGCUCAAGGAGAA